AACGCACCUUGCGCUCCUUGGCAUUCCGAGGAGCAUGCCUGUUUGAGUGUCAUUAUAUUCUCAACUCCCACUAGCUUGCUGGCUGGGGCUUGGAUGUUGGGGGUUCUGCUGGCCUAGUCAGCUCCCCUGAAAUGCAUUAGCGGAACCGUUUGCGAUCCGUCACAGGUGUGAUAAUUAUCUACGCCAGUUGGGUUGCUUUCUGUCUGUUCAGCUCACAACCGUCCCUCUGUGGACACUGUUAAUGAACGUUUGACCUCAAAUCAGGUAGGACUACCCGCUGAACUUAA
rnacentral:misc_RNA from 1 species